AGCGUUGUGACUUAUUUAUUUAGGGCGCCUGUUUACUAAAAAGGAGAGUGUGAGUUAAAAUCUCACCGGUGCUU
rnacentral:tRNA from 1 species